rnacentral:rRNA from 1 species
UGGGGAAUAUUGCACAAUGGGGGAAACCCUGAUGCAGCCAUGCCGCGUGUGUGAAGAAGGCCUUCGGGUUGUAAAGCACUUUCAGCGAGGAGGAAAGGGUGAUGCCUAAUACGUAUCAACUGUGACGUUACUCGCAGAAGAAGCACCGGCUAACUCCGUGCCAGCAGCCGCGGUAAUACGGAGGGUGCAAGCGUUAAUCGGAAUUACUGGGCGUAAAGCGCACGCAGGCGGUUGGAUAAGUUAGAUGUGAAAGCCCCGGGCUCAACCUGGGAAUUGCAUUUAAAACUGUCCAGCUAGAGUCUUGUAGAGGGGGGUAGAAUUCCAGGUGUAGCGGUGAAAUGCGUAGAGAUCUGGAGGAAUACCGGUGGCGAAGGCGGCCCCCUGGACAAAGACUGACGCUCAGGUGCGAAAGCGUGGGGAGCAAACA